rnacentral:snoRNA from 1 species
UGGAAGUGAUGAAAUAGAGAUAAUUGGAUGUCUCUUUGAACGGAGUGCGUGUGAUAAGUGGAAUUUAAACAUCAUCAAACUGGGGGUGGGGUGUGGGGAGUGUGUGUGUGUGUGUGUGUAUGGAAAAGGCUUGGAACGGGGGCACUGACAAUGCAGUGCUGAUUCCGGAGUGCAUCUGAGGCGUGUUGUUAAAUUCUGGGGUGUCCCUUUACAACAUUGCCGAUGAUUAAAGCCCAAAACAAGCCCACCAAGACAAGCCUAGGCAUCCUUAAUCUCGAACAGGUUCACUCAUGGAAGUGAUCCUGUGAUCUGAUCCAA